CCUACGGGAGGCAGCAGUGGGGAAUAUUGCACAAUGGGGGAAACCCUGAUGCAGCGACGCCGCGUGAGCGAUGAAGUAUUUCGGUAUGUAAAGCUCUAUCAGCAGGGAAGAAAAUGACGGUACCUGACUAAGAAGCCCCGGCUAACUACGUGCCAGCAGCCGCGGGAAUACGUAGGGGGCAAGCGUUAUCCGGAUUUACUGGGUGUAAAGGGAGCGUAGACGGUCCUGCAAGCCAGAUGUGAAAGCCCGGGGCCCAACCCCGGGAUUGCAUUUGGAACUGUAAGGCUAGAGUGUCGGAGAGGCAGGUGGAAUUCCAGGUGUAGGAGUGAAAUCCGUAGAUAUCUGGAGGAACAUCAGUGGCGAAGGCGACUAUCUGGCACAUAACUGACGCUGAGGAGCGAAAGCGUGGGUAGCAAACAGGAUUAGAUACCCGGUAGUC
rnacentral:rRNA from 1 species